UACAGAGGGUGCAAGCGUUGUUCGGAAUUAUUGGGCGUAAAGCGCGUGUAGGCGGCUUUGCAAGUCGGGUGUGAAAGCCCUCAGCUCAACUGAGGAAGUGCGCCCGAAACUGCAGAGCUUGAGUACCGGAGAGGGUGGCGGAAUUCCCCAAGUAGAGGUGAAAUUCGUAGAUAUGGGGAGGAACACCGGUGGCGAAGGCGGCCACCUGGACGGUUACUGACGCUGAGACGCGAAAGCGUGGGGAGCGAACAGG
rnacentral:rRNA from 1 species